UUGUUUACUAUUUAGGCUGUAGAUUGGUAUGUUUUCAUGGUUUUGUGCUCUUGAAACAAGUAGGACGUGAUUAACUAUUGCAUGUGUUUCAAAUACAACAAAAAGUGCACUGGGAGUUAAUGAUCAGAGAUUGUGGGUGUGGUGCUUAGUUAAUGGGCAUUUUACACAAUGAAAACAGGUUUCUAAAAUCUAGUCCUGUUGCGUAUAAAAACAAAGUCUAGAUUGUUUAUUUGUUUGUGGAGGAAAGUGAUACUGUCUCACAGUGUUAUACUGACUUUUCUUAUUUUGAAUAAGUGGCCUUAGUUAUUUAGUUUCUAAUAUGAGUAUCCCUAUUUGUAAAAUAGUCAUUUAGUUGUAAAUAUACCUGGUGCAUUUUUAAUGCCUUUCCCAAAAGCCCCAACAUUUAGUUUUUUAAAGAAAAUGUUAGAUUUUUUAAGUUCUAGUGAAUCUUUAUUGCCUUUAAUGUUGCAUCUCAUUAAUUCUUUGAAAAAAGGAAUUGGCAACAUAAUUUAAUAUUACAGUUGUGCAGGCACCAUUUGUUUACAAGGCUUAAGAUGCAAGGAAGUGAACUAUUUGCAUACAUUAGAAUCUGUAUGAUUCUUAAGUGACGUUGCUCACAUGCAUAUUAGGCCAAAUUAUAGUCUUUCUUGUGUAUUCAAAGUCAACCCUUGACUGAAUCACAAUAGACCCUGGGGUUCUAUGAAAAUUUGGGGAGGGCCAUAGUGGAUUCUUCUUCCUUUCUGUAGCUAGAGGUCUCAUCCCUUAUGUAGUUUUAGAUUGAGAAAUUUUGUUUGCAUUUUAGAAAAAAAAUUGUAUAUCAUACAUGAAUAUACCAUUUAUGUGUCAUUUUCACAAGUGAUGCUCAGGAUUUUGUGAAAAGUUUUGACAAAAUUCCAGCUAUAAUUCAUAUUAAAAUAUUUCCUAGGUCUCAUUUCAAAUAUAUUUUUCUUAAUAAUAUUUAUGUAUUGUAUAUGUAUGUGCACAUAUAUAUCUCAGAACAAAAAAGGAUAUUUUAACCUUUUCCAUUCAGUUCUGAGUUUCAUCUUGAUUUGUGUUUAUAACAAUUUUUUCUCUAGUGUAUACACACUAUUCUUUGCCUUGUUUUCUUUGUAAAAAUGUCAACUAGAUCUUUUAUGUGGUCAGCAUAUCUGAUGCCUUUACUUAGCCCAUCUUUUUCAGUAUACUAUUUAUUGUAAAUCUGAGUAUAUAUUAACAAAAUACUUCUUGGAUUAGAUGUCAGUAUGUUUUAUGAAUUAAGUGAUAAUGGGGUAUUUUAUUAAGAUUUUAGUGAAAUAUUUAGUUUUACUUUUUCUAGUUUUUGCAACAAAGUAGUUCUGCUAAUAAACUCAGCAGUGUGAAACCUUUUAACAAAGUGUAUUUGUAUGUAGUUGUUUCUGGAUAACAAUUAUAACACUUUGGCAAUAUACUUUAUAAUGUGCCUGUUUAGUUUAUACUUGUAUUAUAAUUAUUAUAAUUAUUGUAAUUAUUCAGUGAAAAAAGCAAAAAAUAAAGAAAAGAAAGAAAAGGAAACUACAUAUUUCAAUUUAAAAUUCUCAUUUUAAUUAUUUAAACCUUUCCAACAGAUCUUACUCAGAAUAUUGGAAAAAUUUAAGACUGUCCUAGAAAUAUGUUGUUUUUAGUGGAAUCCUCUUAAGUAAAUUCUGUUUCAUAUAUAUGAAGAGAGAGACAGAGAGGCACCAUAUACUCUUACUUCAAGGUGGUAGGGUCAUACACAUACACACACAAGACUGAAGAGAUGAUUUAUCAGAUAGAAGUAUGGCAUAACACAGUACCACUGAGGAAGGUCCAAUGCUCUCUUUAUAGAUCCAUCUGUCAUCUGUAUGUAUGUAUGCCUGUGUAUCUCUCUCUCUCUCUGUCUUUCUAUCUUAUCUGUAUAUCUGUCUAUCUAUCUAUCAUCUAUCAUCUAUCUUCCUUCUACAUUGUUAUCUUACCUAUCUAUAUGUAAGAAUUCCCCACAGUGGUGAAAUCAUAAAUGCACUAACUCUGGCUCUACAAAAAGUAAAUUAUGGCAGGCUAGGAAAUGUAUCACCAUAUAGAGCACAUACUUUACCAUGUGCAAGGACCUGGGUUCAAGCUCCUGGCCACCAUAUGGGAGUACGUCACAAAUGGGAAUCUUCACAAAGAGUGAAGAAGUGCUGUGGUGUCUAUUUCUUUUCUGUCUCUUUCUCUCUCUUCUUCUUAAUCAUUCACUCUCUAUGAAGGAAAAAAAAUAUAUAUGUUGGAAACAGUAGAAUCAAGCAGUCAUAAAGGCCCAGUGAAGAUCUUAAGGCAAGGAAAAUUGUGUGCAUGUGUGUGUCUGUGGGGGGGGGGGGGGUAUUUUAAAAUCCUUUCACUUUUUUUUUGUUUUGUUCCCAUUACAAGUUAUCAUAAGCUAUAUUUUUGUUGUAUUGGUGGUAAUUAUCAAAGAACAAAUUCCACUUUUAAUUUUCAGGAUAUAUUUGUUUUUAUGAGAAAGAAUGUGAGAGAUCAAAACAUUGCUGAACUCUGGUAUAUGGCACUACUGGGAAUUGAACCUGAGGUCUCUUGGACCUCUAACAUGCAAAUUCUAUACUUUAAAUCUGAGCUGUUUCCCCUGGCCUGGUUCCACUUUUCUUGUUUAAAGGUUAGUUCAAAAUAUUUCUCUUACAGUUAUUUCUUUCUUUCUUCCUUUCUUUCUUUCUUUUUUCCUGUUGUGGUGUAAAUGGCAUGUAUAUGGGGUUGGAAGUAUGACUAUAAAUGUAAUGGUUUCAUUUUUUUUGGUGUUGAUAUAAAUGUACCAUUGUUUUAAGAAGUAGCUCACGAUAAAUGGUGGUUUUGUCUUUUUAUUCCUUACUCUAUUAAAAUGUAAUUAGUUGAAAACACGGUAGCAAAAUUAUUUGCUGGAAGAUUAACAUCCAGGGAACUAUGCUGAACAUGUUGAUAAUGUUCAUGUCAGCCUUGAAAUUUUUGCCAUUAUCUCACAAAUAAUUGAAUAUCUUGAGUAGUAGAAGUAAAACUGGAUAGAAUAUAGGACUGAUUUUUCUCUGCAGAUUAUAAACUUAAUCUUCCUAUUCACUCUUCCCAUCCAUUACCAGGCUUUGAUAUUUAUGAGAGUUUAAUUAUUUUUAUGACAGUUUUGUUAUUUUUUAUUCCAGAUAAGGCACUGAUUAACUCUCAGUUUGAGAAUACUCAUAAUCCCUUACUAACUAGUAAUUAGUAACACAGUGAUCUGGGUAUAUUGUUUUGAAGAUAUUUUAACUUAUUUCUUGAUAGUGAAGUAUCUUUUCUUGAUAAAAAUAAGAACAUUUUGAUUGAUGGUGUUGCAUGUGUUUUUCCAAAUAUGUAUAAAGUACACAUAGGUAAACUAUAUAUUCAUCUACUUAGCAACCAAUUAGCUAUUGUAAUUUCAUGAGCAAUCUUGUAUAGCUAAUUUCGACUCUUUCCCUCUUCUAGUAUUAUUUUGGAAUAAGUAUCAAACAUCACAUUAGACUGUAUAAUAAUCAACACAUAGUUGUUUAUGGCAUAGAAUUUUUGGGAAAAUUUCAUUCAUACUUAAAUGUAACAAUAAUAUUUAAUCUCAAUAAUUAUCUUUUCAUAGUUAUAGCCUUCAAAUAUCUCAAGUGCUAUUUGUUUUUAUUAACUAGAAUCCAAAUAAGUUUCUUAUAUGUCUUCUUAAUCUAUAUAUUUCCCCAUUAUCACUAUGUUUACUUGCAGCUUUUUUCUUUAAAGAAAUAAGAUUGUAUCACAUGGUAUUUACCACAGGCUUAAUUUUUUUUACUACAUAUCUGUAUUGUUAUUUAAGUUCCUCUAACUUCUCUCCUUGAAAUGGCAGUUGGAUAUGACUUGAUUAUGUUGGAAAUAUAAUUCUGGGGUCAGGAUUUUCUUAUAGCUUGUGUUUUCUUUUAUUAGUUGAUGUAUGUUUGUUUUUCUCUUAUGUUGUGAUAAUCAUAGUUGCUGCUGUUUAAAGUAUUAAUCCACGUGUGGUUUUGAUAUCAUAAAUUGUUCCUAUAAAAUUAUACUAGGAUAUAUAGAAAUGUUGUUCAAAUCAUUUAUAAAACAUUUAAUCAAAUACUUAAUGUUAAAUAUUUUCUGAAAUAAUUAUAAAAUUCAUGUGAAAUAAAAAGGUCAGCAAAAUGGGUUGAAUGUUCUCACUGUUUAUCUUAGUACCUUUUUUGAUAUGAAACUGUUCUUUAAGAAAUUUUCAGCCAAGAGCUUUUUUAUUUUUUAUUAGUGACUUAAUAAUGAUUAGUAAGAUUGUGGGAUAAGAGGGGUACAAUUACAUACAAUUCCCUCCACCAGAGUUCCAAAUCUCAUCUCCUUCAUUGGAAGUUUCCCUGUUCUUUUUCCCUCUGGGAGUAUGGACCAAUAUUCUUUAUGUGGUGUAGAGCAUGGAAGGUCUGGCCUCUGUAAUUGAUUCUUAGCUGAACAUGGACAUUGGAAGGUUGAUCCACACCCCUACCCUAUUUCUAUCUUUCCUAGUGGGGUAGUCUGUCCAGGGAGGUCACAGUGGUAUCAUGGUAGCAUCUGCAACUUGGUGGUUGAAAGACAGUAUGAUAUAAAGCAAAUUGUUCAAUAAAAUGGUACCCAAAGAUGGGAAUAGGGCAAUUGAAAUCAGGGGUCGUUGUGUGGUUUCCGGAAGCUGGGAAGUCGUUUUUAGGUAUGUUCCAUGUGGCUCAUGACUUUCGUAAUUCUUGUCUGAGCCUGUUAGUUACCACACUGGUGGACUAAGGGUCUGGGAAAAUGGUGUCAGAGUUGAGAAUAGGACUAGACCACUGGAUUAAGGCAGGUAGUAGCUCCCAAAUAUGAGACACAUAUAUAAACACUAUUAAUUGUUAACCCCAUCAGUCUGACCUAGGGCUCAUGUCUGUUCAUAUUUAGCACAGGAGGCGUGUAACCUCUGAGUCUCUGUCAGUCUAGGCUCACAGUCCAUGGUCACAACUAGAAGCAUUCUUGGAUGCACUCAUUUCAGGAUUUUGAGUGUCAAAGUAGCAAAAAAAAAUUCAUUUUAGCUCUUCAUUUCUAUCCAUUACACUUUCCUCUGUCAUACCUAGUUGCUGUUUUAAAUUUUAAGUGGUUUAUCUUACAUUCUCCUUAAUCUUUUCCCUACUCCAUUGCCUUGAAUAUGCAUUUGAACAUUUUUCAUGCAUUUACUUUUAAAAUUUGUAAUGAAUAAAUCUCUUCCUGAUAUCAACCCUCAGACCUUAUCCUAAUGGCACAUUUACUUCUAAAAACAUUCAUGACUACACUGCAAUUUUAUAUGUACAGCACAUUUUUUUUAAUAAAAAAAGAUAGUACUAUGUGUAUUGAUGACUCAAAUGAGGAAAAUAAGAUUCUUUCUUAUUAUUCUGUUAAUAGUGAAUUUCUGAUAAGAUUUUGCCUACAAGAUUUGUACAACUUUACUUCCUCUCAUACACUCACUGAACACUGUCUAUGGAUAAUAUAAAGCAAUGGCAAGCACUAACAUUUUACCACUUUGAAAUAUUUCUGUAUUCCGUGUGUGCAAAUGUACAUCUAUACUUAUAUUUUAAUGUAUUCACUUCGUGAAAAUAAAGUUGAAACACUUUUGUGAACCAGAGAAA